rnacentral:lncRNA from 1 species
CACAUAUCCACAUACACACACACACACACACGUACAGUAUGUGUACAUCCAGUGAAAUAAGAAAGCAGGCCGGAAUAUAUUACUUUAGCAACUGCAAUCCAGCUGGAUACGGAAUACUUAGAUGAUGUGUGAUACAGCAGCACAUAGGAAGGCAGGAUACCUAGGUGUGUGUUGACACGUUGGAACAUGGGCAAACAAGGGAGUGUCUACGUGGUUGUUUUUACUUGCUAGAUAUAGUAGCAAAAUCUCUCUCUCUCUCUCAAGUCACAUCCAGUUGUUUUUAAAAAAUUAGAGAAAUGAUACAUAAGUUAAUGUAGUCCGAGAUAUAUAAAGGCAUGAAGACUGGAUAAUGAUGGUUUGAAUGCUGUUGAUUAUAGGUCUGCUGGAUCAGGACUGACCUAGGGUUAAACAACAACAACAAAUCAACAGCAUAUCAGAGCAGGUUACCAUCAAGACACAGACUCUAAAGUGUUGGGACUAAAUAGGGGAAUCUCUAUGUGGUUAUUCAACCUGCUAGACAUAGAAGUGAUAUCUCCCUCAAAUUGUAUCCUGUUGUUCUGGAAAAUAGAAGAAAGGACCCAUUAGCUAAUAUUGUCCUAAACAUAUAAAAGGGCUGAACAAUGUGACCAUAACUGCUUGAAUGGGUAUUGAUCAUAUGAAUACUGGUUCAGGGCUGACCUGGGGCUAAACAGCAACAGUGACAGUAUUUCAGAGCAUGUUACCAAGGCUUAUGGAACAUUAAGACACCGGCACUAAAGUAUUGCGAUGUAGCGGCACAGGACACGCCAAGGAGGCACAGCAACACCACAACGCACAGCACCAAGGAAGGGCACGACCCAAUGGGACAUCAGCAUCAUGUGAAAACAAACCUCUGUGAGUUGUAAAACAACAACAACACAGCUAUGACCUUUGACACAACUGGACAUUUCGGCAGUGUUACAAUGAUACCAUGUAAUAAUAAUAAUAAUAAUAAUAACAACAACAACACCAACAACAAUAAUAAGACGAAUAUGUUGUGUUGUGAUAUAUAUCAAGACCCACCAAACAGCUGUGACCCUACUACUCCAAUAAUACGUGUUUAAAGUUGGACGCUGAAGAUUCUGUGACAUUCCACACCAUUCCUAUGAUACGGUUCACUGUAAGUGUUUUAACUCAAAUGUUUUUUGUACUUUUUUAACAAAAUUCUUGUUUGUCGUCACCCAAUAUUUAGUACUACAUGUGGACUGUGACACAUCUCUUUUGAGUGAGUAUCUUAGAGAAAAAGAGACCCUGCCCCUCUCAUCCUUUUCUGUACUUUAGGGUAGCUUUUGAAGUUUAUUUUGCAGUGAAGGGAGAUAGAUGACAAUUGUCCAAAAUUUAGUUGAUGUGUGACGGUUUGACACCGUCGAUUUGAUGUUGCUGACUCAAUACCGACUUGUUUUAAUGUUUUUCUCAUUUUUUCCUUUUCUCCCCACCUGUCUCAUUCUGUGUGUGAGCAUAUAUUUCUAUUCAUAUGUAUAAGGAGAGAGAAAGACAGUGGCAUAGCUACUAGGAAAGCAAGGGGAGAGACCCCGCCACCCAAGCACAUCGUUCAAAACUAGCACUUUUCAACUAUUUUUUUUCAUUUUUUUUAAUUACCUGGUUGUAAGUUUGAUGCAUGAUGACAUCGUUACUGAAAUAUUAAAUUAAUGGAUAUAGGUGCAGGAGUGGCCGUGCAGUAAGAAGCUUGCUUCCCAACCACAUGGCUCCAGGUUCAGUCCCAUUGUGUGGCACCUUGGGUAAAUGUCUUCUAUUAUAGCCACGAGCCAACUGAAGCCUUGUAAGUGGAUUCGGUAAAUGGAAACUGAAAGAAAUGCAUGUGUGUGUGUGUGUUUGUCCCCUGCCCCCAUCAUCGUUUGACAACUAAGACCAAUAGAAUAAGUCCUGGGGUCGAUUUCUUUGACUAAAAAAACUCUUUAAGGUGGUGCUCCAGCAUGGCCACAGUCAAAUGACAGAAACAGGUAAAAGAAUAAAAAAAAUAGAAUACAAUUGCAUAUAUUAUAAUUAAUGAAACAUUCUGAGUAAUAUAAGAGAAAUUAAUUAAAAAUUGCUUGGUACAUGUCAUGCCCACUCCCAACACCAUUUUUUAUGUGCUUGCUCCCACUGACUUUAGAACCUGGCAACAAUUCUGGAGAAAGUAUUUGUCAAUCAUGUUCAGUUAAUAAAUUGUAAUUUCUCUCUCUCUCUCUCUUUCUCUCCUCUGUCUUUCCAUCUUUCUUUCUAUAGGUGCAUGAGCGUAUUUCUUUUUAUGCGUAUGAGGAGAGGGGGCAGUAUUUGUCAAUAGUUGUUCAGUUGUGUAAUGCCUUUCUCUGUCUCUACCCCUCCUCUCUCACUAUUUGAGGAUAUUUCUUUUUAUGUGGACAAAGAGAGGUAAGGUGUUUGACAAUCACAUCCAAUUAGUAAAUCAUAUAACGUCCCUCUUCCUCUUUCUGUCUGUCUAUGCAUAUUUCUACAUGCACAUGCACGUGUGAGUCUGUUUGCCUCCAGUGCCAAAAAGUAUCGCCCCCACCAAAACAGGUCAAAUAUCUUGUCAGCUGCCCCAAAUUGACAGAGUCCAAACAACUGCACUUUAUCAUCCCAUUCCAUAAUUUAGUGGUCAGUUGCUGUUGAGUAACCCCUAAUCUGGUUCUGGUUCAGCAAUCAUUCUCAUAGCACACAGGUAGUCAACCAAAGAACAAGGUACCAUCCCCUCCCCUGGGGCCCAAUACCCCAGUUAUACUCUAUUCCCCAGAUUUUUCUACUUUAGGCACAAGGCCCGAAAUUUUGGGGGAGAGGGUCAGUUGAUUAGAUCGACCCCAGUACGCAACUGGUACUUAAUUUAUCGACCCCAAAAGGAUGAAAGGUAAAGUCGACCUCGGCGGAAUUUGAGCUCAGAACAUAGAGACAGACGAAAUACCGUUAGCAGCAUUUUGUCCAUCUUUGCGUGCUGAGUUCAAAUUCUGCCAAGGUCAACUUUGCCUUUCAUCCUUUUGGGGUCAAUAAAAUUAGAACCAGUUAAGCAUUGGGGUUAAUGUAAUUGCCUUACUCUUCCUCUGAAAUUGCUGGUCUUGUGCCAAAAUUUGAAAGUAAUAAAAGACCAUCAUUUGCAUGGUGUCCAGGUGAAAAACACAACAUACUGCCCAGUCUGGGAAUUGAAACCAUGACUCUAUGAUCAUGAGAACAAACUCACACUGGAUCAAUUGCCUUCACUGUAAUCUAAAGUAUAUCAACAACAUUGACAAGAAGUGUAGCAUUUCCUGGACUUGUGAUAAUUAGAUACAUCACAUUCCUCCAAGGAUGCAUCUUCACUAUUGAGGAACAGAAAAUGGUUUCUAAAUUUCUGAUCAACAAGAAAAAGAAAGAUACCUCCAAACUUCCAUGCUGAAAAUAUCCCCCAUGUCAUCAACAGUUGUCUAAAAGUUGUAGCAAAAUAUUGCCUUUUCCUUAGGCCAUGACAGUGUUCCUGUUAACAAGAAGUAGACAUCAUUCUUGUAAACAGUGUUAUUUUGAGGAUAAUGCAUUUUACAAUGUUUUCUGCAGGAAAAACUGUCCUCACCAUUACACAGAAAAGGUACACAAAAUCAGAAUACCUCCAUGUCUUUAAAACUAAAGGAAUACAUGUGGCACAUUCCAAUGAAAGCAGCAACCAGGAACAAAACUAUGUACAGUUGCAAAUGUCAGCUGCCCAAAGGGUGUGAAUUCCUCUUCUAAAAUUGUGUGGAAUAGAAAACAUCUAUGGUAAAAUAAUUCAGAAAUUAACAACUCUUUUAUCCAGGCCAUAGAUUUUCAUGUGUAAUUAUCAUAAAUGCAUGGAGUUAAGUAAUGAUAAAUUUGUGUAAAAGCUUUAAAAUGCUAUGAAUUUCCAAGAAAAAAACAAAGCAAACUGACUUGCAAGCUCUAAAUCCAGUCAAUAAGUAGCACUGUGAAGAUCUGUGAAGCACUUCGAAAGUUCUCCAUUUGAGUUUCCUAGAAUAAACAUUGGUGUGUUGUUAAGAAGCUUGCUUUGCAAUCAUGUAUUCAAGCUCAGUGCCAUUGUACGACACCCUGGGCCAAGCAAUGUCUUCUGUGGAUUUGGUUGGAGGUAACUUUGUGGGAGCCUUUGUGUAUGUGUGUGUCCUUGCGUUUGUGUUUGUCCCCCCCCCACCCCAAGCAUUUGACAAUCAGUGUUGGUUUAUCUACAUCGCUGUAACUUAAUGGGGUUUUUUUUUAAGUAGCAGACUUAACAAAGGAUAAGUACUGAGGUUGAUUUGUUCAAUUAAAACCCUUUAAGGCAGUGCCCCAGCAUGGCCACAGUCCAAUAACUGAAACAAGUAAAAGAUAAAAAAUAAUAUGUGCGUGUGUGUAUAGCUCCAUCAGAGCUGCUUUAUAUUCAAGGCUCUGAUGAAGCUAUAAGGAGUUACUCAGGCACUCAGAUAUGAGUCCACUGCAUCUUAUAGCAGAAACAGCUGUAAGCUAUUGGAGUUCAUUUAUUCCUUUGUCAUCUAAUUUUCUUAUAUACAUACAUACAUAUUCAUAAAAUUAUUCAGUGUGACACUGAAUGUAUGAAAGAAGAGAGACAGACAGACAGACAGACAUGACAAGUUUUCUCAGAGGAUAUCUAUAUAAUGGAAAAUGAAUGCAGUUUGAGCUUUAUUAGCAUAUUCCACCAUUGUUACCAUUAUUUGGUGAGAGGAAUUACAGAAUUAUAUUCUAAUUAAUUCUUCUGUCAUCUCUAAAGAUAUUCUUUUGCUUCUAAAAUCAUCCUCUUCUUGCAUUUUCUUGGUUUUUCUUACUUUUCUGGGUGUUUUCUUCACUUCAUGGUUCACUUUUUCGUUUUCUCUCUUUCGCUCUCCUUUCUUCUUUCUAUUUCUUUUUCCUUAUCCUUUCUUCUUCCUUUUUUUCUUCAUCACUCUCCUUCUUUUCUUCUGUCUUCUUGUCCUUGUUAUUGUUGAUGUUCUUCUUCUUGUCUUUUUGCCCCCUUUUCUCCUCCUUCCUCUUCUCUUUCUUGUCUUUGUUCUUCUUAC